GGGAGCGAACUCUGUCUAUGUCCGUCAAACAAACGAGGAAGUAAUGGCGUCUCGCGUCGUUUCGCUUUCCGAUAUUCCUGACAAAUUAUCAUAAAUGUGACAUUACAAUGCGAAAAAAAUAGAAGUCAAAGGAAUUUGUAACUGGCUGCUACAUCGGAAGGCUCGAUAUAUCUUUAGAAAAUGACGAUAUCUAACAUUUACGGGGUGAAAUCUAUCCAAGUCAGAGAAAAUCGGAUAGCCGCAAUGUUGUCAACAUUGACAUCGAUACAAAGGAAAAGCGUGUGUGUGACGCAUACUGUAAAUGCAAACAAGGAAAUUGUGGAACAUGUUCACACACUCUGGCUGUAAAAGUAGACCUGGGAGGAAAAGUGCCCCCGGUGUGGGGCUCGAACAACCACCAGAACACUAGCCCGGCGCUCUAACCAACUAAGCUGACCGGGCAGCUGGUUCUAACCCACACACACUACCCUCCCCCCAUUUACCGGUUAAGGCUGGUGGAGGGUCUCCUGCUAUUUACCGUUGACACCAUUAAAGUAUUCUGAUUGAUGGAGAUAAGGAAGUCCCCUUAUAAUUGUCUUCAACAAGCCUACCGCCACAGGAGACCUAGCAUAAGACCGGAAACCGCCCCCCCCCCCCACACACACAUGAUAUUUGCCAGUCCAGGCAAUGUCAACCGCAAGAGAAAACCAGUGAUGACAAGUUUUACAAAUAAUCGGAAAGUGUGGUCUUUUGAAGAGAGUUCUUGAAGUUGUUCAGCAUGUUGUUUUGAUGGAUUCUUGGAAGGAUGUACCUCUAUGAUGAUAGCUUCAGUUCUGGAGUAUAACACCAGUUGUUGCAUAUUUAAUAUCAGAUUUAUUAAAUACAUUGUUGUUUUGCAAACAUUACUUAAACUUUGAUAUUUCUUUGGUGUUUAUGUAUGAUAUUGUAGGUGAAUAUCUCUUUAUUGCAAUGGCAAAUAUAUUUUAAAAUAUAUAGCAUUAGCAGAAGUUAUUUUUCACUGUUAAAGCUGCACUUUCACAGAUUGAUCACUUUGACAACUUACACAGGAUUCGAUUGCAUUUAUCAUAUUUUGGCUCGGAGAAGUUUGCUUUGUGAUUUAUAUAUGAGGUCUUAAUUUAAAGAAUGCCAAAAUAAGCCGAUUCUGAGACAAAAAGUGUCAAACUAGAAUUCUGUGAGAGUGCAACUUUAAGAAUACUGUUAAUCGAGUGUGCAUGUGAUCCGGACUCUGAACAUUGGAUGAACUAUCAUUAAAUAUUGUAGAUUUACGUAAAUGGCCCAAAAUAUAAGAAUAACAAUGAAAAUAUGUA